GUUUAUGCUCUUGGUCAUGUAUUACACUCACUAAACCAUUGCGCUCAAAGAACAGCAAGGUUAUAACAAUCCUGUAUGUUGUUUUUUUCUUCCCCAGAGGUCUGCUGAGAGUGUGUUGUGGCAGCAGGAAGACAGCAAACACACCAGCAGUCCUUUACUUGCAGGUGAUGGCCUCCUGCAGCGAGAAGGGAUGGAUCAAAUGGCUUUCAAGGAGCUCAGUCAGUGGAGGAAUCCAGGAACAUACAGCCAAGCGGAUGAGCAACGUGCAGGUCUUCCCACCACGGCCUUUCCCAGUUAAACCGACCCUUCCCAACAGGGCACUGCAGCAAGUGUUCCCAGAAAUCCAACUCGCCUGACCACAUUUCCAGCGUCUAGAAAACCACUUGCCGAGGAAACAAGUUACUCAGGUACGAAUUGUUGAGGUUGAAGACAGGUCUCAUACGAUGCUUGGUCUUCCCUAAGUCUUCCCAAACAUCUUCUAAACUUUUGCGUCCUAGCAAGGGCUGAUGACCACACCUGGGGAUGGUGUGACUCCCUUGCCUGCACCUCCUCUCCUGCACAGGACUUGCUUGAUGUUUGCAAACACCAUCUUUGAGUCAUGUCAAGCCUUGGCUGAAGGUAUGGCAUGGAGCUGGAGAUGAAAAUAGCUGGCCCACCAUUGCGUAUGGCUGCUAUGCCCUGUCUCCUUAGUUCAGAUCAUUCCUUCUGACUGAACAGGACCUCCCAAAGGAUG
rnacentral:lncRNA from 1 species